UACAGAGGUCUCAAGCGUUGUUCGAUUCAUUGGGCGUAAAGGGUGCGUAGGCGGCGCGGUAAGUCGGGUGUGAAAUCUCGGGGCUUAACUCCGAAACUGCAUUCGAUACUGCCGUGCUUGAGGACUGGAGAGGAGACUGGAAUUUACGGUGUAGCGGUGAAAUGCGUAGAUAUCGUAAGGAAGACCAGUGGCGAAGGCGGGUCUCUGGACAGUUCCUGACACUGAGACACGAAGGCUAGGGGAGCAAACGGG
rnacentral:rRNA from 1 species